rnacentral:rRNA from 1 species
CACCGAUAUGCUUUGGGGAGCUGUACGUAAGCGUUGAUCCAGAGAUUUCCGAAUGGGGGAACCCACUAUCUUUAGUCGGAUAGUAUCCUUACGUGAAUACAUAGCGUGAGGAAGGCAGACCCAGGGAACUGAAACAUCUAAGUACCUGGAGGAAGAGAAAGAAAAAUCGAUUUCCUGAGUAGCGGCGAGCGAAACGGAAAGAGCCCAAACCAAGAAGCUUGCUUCUUGGGGUUGUAGGACACUCUAUACGGAGUUACAAAAGAAAGUUAUAAAUGAAGCGGUCUGGAAAGGCCCGCCAAAGACGG